CCCCUCUUUCGGACUCGAAUUUAAUUCUAACGCUAACCCCGACUUGUAGUUGUGCUUAAAGUUUGUAAAUUUCAGAUUCGCCCUAUUCACCCCCCUCUAUGCGACUUUCACUCUCUACCAAGAAAGGCCUCAACUCUAGCCCUCCAACCUUCAGAAUCACAUUGGCCUGUAACUGCUCUGCCAGUAACAUCGAGUCCAAGUAUCUUCUGUGUAUCCUCUAAUGUGACUGUCAUCUCACCAAAAGGAAGAUGAAAACUAUGUGUCUC
rnacentral:lncRNA from 1 species